GACGAACCGAGCGAACGUUAUUCGGAAUCACUGGGCUUAAAGGGUGCGUAGGCGGGCACGCGAGUCAGGGGUGAAAUCCCACGGCCCAACCGUGGAAGUGCCUCUGAUACCGCGCGUCUCGAGGGGGAUAGGGGCAGUGCGGAACUUCCGGUGGGAGCGGUGAAAUGCGUAGAUAUCGGAAGGAACACCGGUGGCGAAAGCGGCGUGCUGGAUCCCGUACUGACGCUGAGGCACGAAAGCCAGGGGAGCAAACGGGGAGUUAGAAUGACCCC
rnacentral:rRNA from 1 species